rnacentral:rRNA from 1 species
GACGAACCGUGCGAACGUUGUUCGGAAUCACUGGGCUUAAAGGGCGCGUAGGCGGCUCACCAAGUCGGGGGUGAAAUACUUCAGCUUAACUGGAGAAGUGCCUUCGAUACUGGUGGGCUUGAGGGAGGUAGGGGUCUGUGGAACUUCUGGUGGAGCGGUGAAAUGCGUUGAUAUCAGAAGGAACGCCGGUGGCGAAAGCGACGGACUGGACCUCUUCUGACGCUGAGGCGCGAAAGCUAGGGGAGCAAACGGG